rnacentral:rRNA from 1 species
AUUGAACGCUGGCGGCAGGCCUAACACAUGCAAGUAGCACGAGUGGCGGACGGGUGAGUAAUGUCUGGGAAACUGCCUGCUGGAGGGGGAUAACUACUGGAAACGGUAGCUACUCCCGCAUACCAUCAGAUGUGCCCAGAUGGGAUUAGCUCGUUGGUGGGGUAACGGCGCACAAAGGCGACGAUCCCUAGCUGGUCUGAGAGGAUGACCAGCCACACUGGAACUGAGACACGGUCCAGACUCCUACGGGAGGCAGCAGUGGGGAAUAUUGCACAAUGGGCGAAAGCCUGAUGCAGCAAUGCCGCGUGUAUGAAGAAGGCCUUCGGGUUGUAAAGUACUUUCAGCGGGGAGGCGUUACCCGCAGAAGAAGCACCGGCUAACUCCGUGCCAGCAGCCGCGGUAAUAC